AACCUCUUAUGGGUGUUGUCAGCGUGAGUAAAUAAAGAAUUGUUAUGGAUGCUUUUGGUUUGACGAUAAACUGUGGGCUCACUUUUUGUUUGCUGUUUUGCUUUAGAAGAAAGUUCAAAUUCAAUGACUCUGAGCAACCCUGUGGAAAAAGUGGCCUAUCUUACAAUAUUCCAUAUUCUCUUUGUGCUCUUCGUGUGGACAUAUUGGAAGUCUAUUUUUACUCUCCCAGUGCAGCCAGAUAAAAAGUACCAUAUGUCCUAUGCUGACAAAGAGCGCUAUGAAAACGAAGAAAGGCCGGAGGUGCAGAGGCAAAUUCUUGCCGAAAUUGCAAGGAAAUUGCCAGUGUACACAAGAACGGGGAAUGGAGGUAUCCGAUUCUGUGAUAGAUGCCAGCUAAUAAAACCUGAUCGUUGUCACCAUUGUUCUGUUUGUGCUAUAUGUGUGCUAAAAAUGGAUCAUCACUGUCCGUGGGUGAAUAACUGCAUUGGAUUUUCUAACUACAAAUUCUUUCUACUGUUCUUAGCCUAUUCUUUGUUGUAUUGCUUGUAUAUUGCUGCAACAGUCUUCAAGUAUUUCAUUAAGUAUUGGACAGGUGAGCUGACUAAUGGACGUUCCAAAUUUCAUGUCCUUUUCCUUCUCUUUGUGGCGGUCAUGUUCUUCGUAAGCCUGAUGUUUCUGUUUGGCUACCACUGUUGGCUUGUCAGUAGAAACAGAUCUACUUUAGAGGCUUUCUCAGCUCCGGUGUUUCAAAAUGGCCCGGAUAAAAAUGGAUUCAAUCUCGGCUUUGUAAAGAACCUUCAGCAAGUGUUCGGAGAAGAAAAAAAGCUCUGGUUACUACCCGUCGUCUCUAGCCAGGGGGAUGGGCAUUUUUUCCCCAUGAGAGCUUUGUGUGAAGCUCAGAAUCCUCUCCUAGCAAAUGAAGAGCAGUGGGAAGAUGAUGGAAUAGAUGAAGAGCCACAUGGUAAGGUUCCAAUGAAGCUUCAUCCCUUGCCAUAGAAAGGGAGACGUAGCGCUCUGAAAAUGCAACAAUACAAAGCUUGUUCAGAAAGCUUCCCUCUCAGGAGCCAACAUCCCUUCUCUUUUCAUGGACUUCAGUUUUGAGGGUCAGAAAACAAAUGGAUCUUCAAGAUGAGAAAACGUCAUGAAGUAUCAACUGAUUGGAAUCUGCAUUCUAGAGUGCUUCUCCAGAAAUCCUGCUGCACAGAUGUUUCAAGGCUUUAUAAGUUUAAGUUAUGGAGUGAACAGAACAGUUUUAUAGAGUGAUUCUGGCCAGUCUUCUUUGGCCUGCUCUCUUUAUUUUAUAAAUAAUAUAUAUUUUUUAUUCAAAAUAGGCGAAAAAAAUAUUGAUGUGAGUGCACUUCCAAAAGCCUUUUCACUUUGCAGACAUCAGGGACUCAAGCUCUCAGAAUUCUUCCAAGCCAUAAUAUUCUUGGGAAACCUAUUUAUUUUGAGACUGGUUCUCCAACCUUCUCUGACAAGUGGCAUUUUCUAAUAAGUGUUUAAAGUCCUAUCUGAGUAAGCUCAGCUCAGUGAGAGACAGACUUGCAUAAAUUUGGGACUAAAUUGGUAGUUGGAUGUGUGUGUUGAAUGCAAAAGUGCUGAACAUGCAUAUACAUGUGCAGCUGUGUAUGGAAAUAAAAUAGUUAGUCAUAUUGCCAGUAUCAAGAUUCAAGAAUAUUGUGGCCACUGAUGCUUUUUUCUAGGAGGGUGUCGUUGUCUUAGAUUGUGAGUUAUAGUGCCCUUAAAGCUGAAUCCUACUUGCAGGUACCUAAAAUUCUGAAGGGAAUUUUAGACAGUACAGUUUGCAUUAAUUCCUAGGGCUAGGGCUAAAAUGACAGAAUUUGCAUGGCAAUUAGAGUAUUAUCACCUUAUCCCAGGAUCAGUGUUUCAUGGGAUUUUUUGUAUUUAUGGAGUCAGAAAGGAAGGUGUUAAUUUGAAACAGAUGAGUUGGAAAUGUGCACUGAAUAUUUAGCUCCAACAGUAGCAUUUGGAGUUUACCCUUCACAAAGGUGGUUUUAGUCUCAUAAUGCUGAAGAGACAACAACUGAUGUCCUGAAUUAGGUCAGACUUCUUCCUGAGUGAAUGUAUUGACUGGUGUUGUAAAGAUUUUUUUUUUUUUCCCCCAACACCAAGAGGUGAUCAGAUUUUUUUUCUAUAUUUGACUCCAUUUGCAGUCAAAGGAAAGUGUCAGUGUUUUUAUUCUGCAGCGUGGAACUGAGAAUUUGCUGCCUGUAUUAUAUGUGGUUUUCUAGAUCCGAGUCUUUUUUUAUCUGCACGAUUCAGAUCUGGCAACCCCAUCACUCAUGUCUGAAUUGGAUGCAUGCUUGAAGUAUUAAUAUACUACCUUUAAGAUCAUUUCUUACACUUCCCAUUUUCUGUCCAGGUUUUAUGUUUAUUUAUUUCCCCUUCGUGUUGACAGUGACUCAACAGCAGUUGUGCAUGUCAUGAGAAAUUACCAGAUAAGUAUCUGUUCAGUGACAAAGGCCUUGGCUACAUACUAGAUCUUUUCGCCUCUGUUUACUCUGCUGCUGCUACCAGUAUCUCCAUUAAUGACGCAAAGGAGUCGUGCAGAGAUUUUUCUGUCCGUAAGAGCAGACACUUAAUUACCUGAUACAAACCAUACUUUUUAGACAGACAUUUUGUAUGUCAGUCUCUAACCUCCACAGUGAGGUGUAGAGCAGGCAAUACACCCUGUAAAAUGUCUUAUUGCUAAAAUUUAAAUGUUAAGAAAUAGGGUGUGCUCGCCCAGUUUUAAUGCAGGUUAUUUGCCCAGAGUGUUACCGAGCGCUCUCUGAAUGUUGCUGCUGACGACGCUUCAGCCGCUUCUGUUUGCUGGUUCCGUCAUCAGACGGCUGUUGACUGCCGAAACUAUUUUUCCUAUCAAAUCUAAACCUGCAGUUCUAAUAGAAAUCUGUUGCUGGAUCUUAAGUUGUGUUUGGUGAAAGAUGGCGGUACAAUUAAUCACGUCAUUUCUGGCAAAAUGUACUUCAGAGGGGGAUCUGUAGAGGAAGACGGCAGCUAAAUGCAAUAGGAAAUCAUAGGAAUUUAGUACCAACUGCUAUUUGUGCCUUUUAAAAUGCUAAGGUCUCUAACUCUAAAUUUCUACUGUAUAAAAACAGGAAGAUAAUUUGGCAGCUGUUUCAUUCUGUCAGCUUACGAGUGUUUUUAGGACAGGAAUAUCAGAGCUGUGUCUGAAGCCAUGUGGAGCUGCAGGAGUUUUCUGAGCAGGUUCUCGCAUCCUUUCCGGAUCUGGGACUGUUUAGGGCUGUUUCAUUCUUUCAUCGUCAUUUCUUUGCCAAACUAGCAGCAGAGAAGCUACCUAAGAGAUCUGCGAACUGUAUCCCUGUUUGCUGUCCAGCUGUGACACUGUUCAUUAGUUAAUGCAUAACAUAAAUUUUUGUCUUUGGUUGUAACUGUUAUUAAAACAAAUAUAUUUAUGGUAAGGCUUAUGUUUGGAAACAGCUUUAAAUGUUUCCAAGUACUUUACAAUAAUGCUUUGACAUCUUUCCUUAACUUGCGUACUGUUAUUAAGUAACUUUGCUUGUGACUAGUUGCAGCUGAUUUUCCAUUUUCCUUAAAAGCAGCGCAGGCUUACCUGGUUAUAACAAACUCUUGUCCAGGUAGAAACAAUAAGCAAUUUGAUGGCUUCAGAAUCACUCCAAGUCCGUAUUCACACUGGUCAGAUUUUUGAAAGCUUCCAAAUGAAACAUGAAACAAAUACAAAAGUUGUGUUAAAAUGAGCCAGGACAAAACGUAGAAAAGUUCAGGUAUGUCUGAGUGACUGAAAAAUCUCCGUUUUGCUCUUCUACUUACUUGAAGGAGAAGUCCUUAUACAGUGCCUAGGAUUGUACUGUUUUAUGCUGCAUUCCAGUGCAACAGAAUAGAGUCGGGCAGAUUCCUCUACGUCCCAAGAUUAAUUAAAGCUGAAUAUAAAAAGCUGCAGCGAAGGUAACGCCGCCCAAGGCAGCGGUGUUUGUGUUGUGUUUGCUGAAGCCGCUAUACGUCUCUGUUUUUCAAGGCAGCGUGUAAACGGGCAGUCAGAUCUCUGUGGGAAAAAUUAGUAUUUUUCAAAAUAUUGCUACCGAGACCUUUUUUCUUUGUGCAUUAUUGCAGCUGAUGUUUUGAACAUAAUUGCAGGUGACCUACUAAGGAGAAUGCAGUUAUUUCGGUUAGUCUUUUUGGCCAUUAAAAAGACUGCUAGCAAGAAAGCUAGGCAGCGUAAAAGCAGUAAUUUUGACUGCAACACCCUAAUACUUGCGCUUUUAAAGCGGGGCUUGUAUUUACUUUUUAAAUUGGCUUUUGGUUUUCGUAGCUUCUGAAGGAAAGUUGCACGUGCAUCACGUUCUGUUGGAUGUGCUAGGUGAAUGCACUGGAAAACAGGAAUUCCUCAGGCUGCUUCUGUAAUCAUUGCUGUAGGUGCAGAUAAAGUAUUCAGCCAAGCGUACGUUAGGUUUGUCUAACUUGCAAAUAGUGCUUUAAGGGGAAAAAAUCUGUGUCUGCUUUUGCUGGUGCAGCUUGUAGGGUAGAGCUGUAUGCCACGUUGUGGGAAAGGCCCGGGGUAUUUGUCUGGGGAUGUUUACUGUCGCUCUCUACCUAGCUCCAUCUGUAAAUUUGGUUGCACCCAAAGAAGCUGGUGCAUUAAACUCGUAAGGUUUGAACCAGUUCUAAUGCGUUCUUAAGUUGUGUGACUGUAGUGUUUGUGAGGUUGUACACACGGCUGUUUGACCCCAGCCCGGGUUCAGCGUGGGAGUAGCGGGGUGACUUUCUCAACCUCAUCCCGGAGACUGAGAGAGUUUUCUCUGGCUACGGAGCUCAUGCCAGAUCUACGCUACAAAAUUAUGCAGUAAGUGUUUUCCAGCUCAGGGUCAGAAGUAAUUAUUGUCCUUAGUUGAGGCUGUAUUGGCAGUAUAACUUGAGGUGUAGAAGCACCUCUGAGAAGGAUGUUUUUGUUGGCUUAGCUUAAUGUAGUCCAGGGAGGUGGUAACGCCUGCCAGCAGGAGAGCGCCGGUGGCGUGGCCGCGAGGCUGCUCUCCUGCCGGGACGCUCGGUAGGGCAGACCGGGCCUCAGCUGCCAGUUACUGCCAGGGUCGUUUUGAUGAGGAUGUGGGAGCUGGAACAGAGCCACCAAAGGCUGUGUGUAAAUCUACCAAACAGUCACCAGAUAGUAAGGUAUGUUCACGCUCAGCUGGCCCAAAUGCAAAUCUGCCUUCCAAAAAUCAAAGGCUCACCUGGAGUCUCUUGGAAAGUGUCGAUCGUGGCAAUGGCUUUUGUUAGCUUAAAUCAAGGCCUGUAAGUGUGAGAAUUCAGCUUGUAUGCAGCGUAUCCUGCUUUUCCCCUGGCCCGUUUGUUGUUUGUGUUUCAUCAUUUUACAAAGCUAUUUCUUGCCCCUCACAUGAAUGAGGCCCUCAUGAGCUAUAAGUGGGUGUCAUCAUGUGAAAGAAAGAAUUCUCUGCUGGAUUUUACUGCGAUACUGCCCUUCUGUCUUAUUCCUUUUGUCUUGGGUUAAUGUUCGAAAAUAAUUUGCCAGUAGCAACCACCUCCUCACCUCUCCCCCUUCUCUCCCAUUUAAAUUCAGGCACACUGUACUCUUCUUUUAAAAAAAAAAAAAAAAA